UAUUUCCUACCGAAGGCAGCGGGACGACUGGGCUGGGGGUGGCGGCGGCGUUCCUCGGGAGCGGCUCGGCACGGCUCAGUCUCACCGUGCGCUUUCUUUCCGUACAGCCGCUGCUGGAGGAGGGCGAGACCUGGAAGGAGUGCAAGCUCGUGCAGCAAGUGAGCGCCGAGGUCACAAAAUGGAUUCAGGCAAACCAGAGGAUCAGAAAGAGCAGCAAAAAGAAAAGAAAGCAGGACAAAGUUGUUUUUCAAAAGGUAAGGAUUCAUGUUGUGUGUUUGUGCAAAUGGGCAAAGGGCAACAUAAUGGAAAGAUUUUAAGAUGAUGCCUUAUAAACUGUAAAGAGGUGUUCUUAGUUUCUCUGACAAGGUGACAGUAAUUAUUUCACUAUGGAAAUAAAUUAUUAGUAGAAAGAAAUCAUUAGCCUGCAAUUUCAGGGACGUAAGUUCCCUUUUUUGUGUUAAAAUCCAAUGUUCUGCAGAAGAAAAGUGAGAGCACUCUCAUCAGAAGUAUCAGUAGCGCUUCAGAACAAGAGUUUAUCACAGGACCUGCACUGUUAUUUGUAAAUCUUCAGAUAGGUUUAGCUGAGAAACAAUCUGUGUUGGUGAGCAUGGGACAGUAAAACAUAUGAUGCCUGCAUUGAAAAAGGUGCUCUGAUGAAGCUUCUGGCUCUUCAGUCAGAGUGGUUUUCUAAGUCUUACAGAUCAUGUAGUUGCACGUUGCACUAUAAGGGAAUUCAUGAGGGUGUCUUGGUGAUUAUUUUAGAAAUUACUGCAGAGGACUUCUUAAACUGCAUACAGUCCGAACUAAACUGCAUUAAACAUGUGCUUUGCCUAUUGUAAAUGAAAAACUUUUUUUUUUCCUAUGAUAGUCCUUUAAUAGUCCUGACUACUUAAAUCACUUAAAUCAAUUAAAAGUAAGGAGGUAAAUAAUCAACUGGCACUUGUACUAAAUAACUGUUUUCUGUUCUCUUGAGGGGAAAAAAAUGAUUCUAAUACUUAUCAUUUAUGAAUAAAGAUGCCUUUCCAAAUGCA